GAUGAACGCUGGCGGCGUGCUUAACACAUGCAAGUCGAACGGGAUCCCAGGGGUGCUUGCCCUUUUUGGUGAGCGUGGCGAACGGGUGAGUAACACGUGAGUAACCUGUCCUUUUCUUUGGGAUAAGCAUUCGAAAGGGUGUUUAAUACCUUAUGUUCUGUCUGCCUCGCAUGGGGUGGGUGGUAAAGGCUUUCGCCGGUUUUUGGUGGGCUCACGGUCUAUCAGGUUGUUGGUGGGAUGAUGGCGUAGCGAGGCUUUGACGGGUAGCCGGUCUGGGAGGGUGGUCGAACUGAGUCGGACUGCAGACCCGCACGGGAGGCAGCGGGAGGGAGCAGUGGGGGAUAGUGGAAAAUGUGAGAAAGCCAGAUGGAGCGAGGCAACGUGGGGGAUGAAGGCUUAAGGGUUGUUAUCUGCUAAGAAACGGAACAGGGUAUGCCAGUGGGUGUGUGGCGUGUAGGAAUUGAUAAGCGCCGGCUAACUACGUG
rnacentral:rRNA from 1 species